UCGAUGGAGGAAAAAGGCCACUAGAUGCAGCAGAACAGACAACACAUCAGCUACAGUAUAUCGUUACGCUGUUUUCAAUUUCUUCUAGUAUCUUAUACGUUCAGGAAAGGGUUCCUGGGAUCUAGAUCGGGUUCUAGAUCUUGUUCUGGUGUUGGUGAGAAUCUAGUCCCUGUGUGUGUGUGUGUGUGUGUGUGUGUGGGUGUGUGUGUGUGUGUGUGUGUGUGUGU